GAUGAACGCUGGCGGCGUGCCUAAUACAUGCGAGUCGAGCGAACAGACGAGGAGCUUGCUCCUCUGACGUUAGCGGCGGACGGGUGAGUAACACGUGGAUAACCUACCUAUAAGACUGGGAUAACUUCGGGAAACCGGAGCUAAUACCGGAUAAUAUAUUGAACCGCAUGGUUCAAUAGUGAAAGACGGUUUUGCUGUCACUUAUAGAUGGAUCCGCGCCGCAUUAGCUAGUUGGUAAGGUAACGGCUUACCAAGGCGACGAUGCGUAGCCGACCUGAGAGGGUGAUCGGCCACACUGGAACUGAGACACGGUCCAGACUCCUACGGGAGGCAGCAGUAGGGAAUCUUCCGCAAUGAGCGAAAGCCUGACGGAGCAACGCCGCGUGAGUGAUGAAGGUCUUCGGACCGUAAAACUCUGUUAUUAGGGAAGAACAAAUGUGUAAGUAACUAUGCACGUCUUGACGGUACCUAAUCAGAAAGCCACGGCUAACUACGUG
rnacentral:rRNA from 1 species